CUUGCUUCUCUUGAGAGCGGCGGACGGGUGAGUAAUGCCUAGGAAUCUGCCUGGUAGUGGGGGAUAACGUCCGGAAACGGACGCUAAUACCGCAUACGUCCUACGGGAGAAAGCAGGGGACCUUCGGGCCUUGCGCUAUCAGAUGAGCCUAGGUCGGAUUAGCUAGUUGGUGGGGUAAUGGCUCACCAAGGCGACGAUCCGUAACUGGUCUGAGAGGAUGAUCAGUCACACUGGAACUGAGACACGGUCCAGACUCCUACGGGAGGCAGCAGUGGGGAAUAUUGGACAAUGGGCGAAAGCCUGAUCCAGCCAUGCCGCGUGUGUGAAGAAGGUCUUCGGAUUGUAAAGCACUUUAAGUUGGGAGGAAGGGCAGUAAAUUAAUACUUUGCUGUUUUGACGUUACCGACAGAAUAAGCACCGGCUAACUCUGUGCCAGCAGCCGCGGUAAUACAGAGGGUGCAAGCGUUAAUCGGAAUUACUGGGCGUAAAGCGCGCGUAGGUGGUUCGUUAAGUUGGAUGUGAAAUCCCCGGGCUCAACCUGGGAACUGCAUUCAAAACUGACGAGCUAGAGUAUGGUAGAGGGUGGUGGAAUUUCCUGUGUAGCGGUGAAAUGCGUAGAUAUAGGAAGGAACACCAGUGGCGAA
rnacentral:rRNA from 1 species